UCCACAGAUGAAUCAAGAGUGCCAAUGUAAACAGAUUGAUGGAAUUUUGUUGAAGAAUGUUUUGGAAAUAUUUGUUGACAUCGGGUUAUGAAGUAUGUCUAGCUAUGAACAUGGUUUGAAGCAAAUAUGCUUGAAGAUACCACAGCAUAUUAUUUUUGAAAGGCUUCAGAUUGAAUUGUAAAAGACUCAUGCCCAGAUUACAUGUUAAAAAUGGUGGAGCAUUUAGAGUGUGAGAAAGAUAGAGUUCACAAUUACUUGCAUUCAAGCAGUGAACAAAAGUUGUUGGAGGUGGAUGAGUAGACUUUUUUGUAGAAGACCUCGCUGCUAGCACAAUGUCUCAGAUAUUCAAAGAGGACCGGACGACAAAAAUAAACAAAUUGCAGGCGGUGCAGUUACUUGUGUAUAUAUCAGGAUUAAGGACCUUUUGAGGAAUUAUACAGGGAAAAAUUUGCAGUAAGGCAUGUGCUUGACUAUUCCCAUUAUAAUGAACAUGAUGAGUAUAUGUGAGAAAAGCUAAAGCAAAAUAUGGUGCGAAAUUCACAUGAUAACUGAAAAAGAUGGUGGUAUGUUCCUUCAGAGGAUGUCAUUACUCAGUCAGUACCCACAUGAUAUCUUCAGGGCUUGUUCAU